ACUGGUUGGGAGCUGUUACCGCUUCCCUGAUGAGCCCAUGGCAGGGCGAAACUAGU
rnacentral:hammerhead_ribozyme from 17 species